CUGGGUAGCCAUGUGUCGAUUGGAUAACCGCUGAAAGCAUCUAAGCGGGAAACCGACCUCAAGAACAGGUAUCCCGGGCGCAAGCCCCUGAAGACCCGUCGAAGACUACGACGUUGAUAGGCCGGGUGUGUAAGCGCGGUAACGCGUUGAGCUAACCGGUACUAAUUGGUCGUGCGGCUUACUUUA
rnacentral:rRNA from 1 species